AGCGCGGCUGGAUUAGGGAGGAGACGGACGCCGGAGUUGGAUGGUAAACAGGGCCUGACGGAGUUUGAUCAGAUGGAGAGGGAGCGUGUUCACAAGUGCACAGGUCUCACCUCUUCGGCUAGCCAAUCAGGAAAAAGCGCACACAACGACCAUUUCAUUCCUGAACUGAGAUGGAGCAGUACGGAUGGAGAUGUAUUCAAUGAUUGCCUGACGGGCCGAGGACGGCAAAGAAUGGGACGUGGUGUUGGCGGACUGGACGUUUUGGAUGACGACCGGAUGUCUUGAAAGGGGCCAGGAUACAGACGGCCCACAGCAUGCUUAUCGACAGGCGGCUGUCAUUGCGCUGACAGUGUUUUCCAUCAGCAUGACUGACUUGUUGACAUUUGAGAAGGUUAAGCUACCUUGCCACAUUUCCCGGGCCCCGGCGUAGUCAUAAUCACUGGCUCGGAUGAAGCCGUGUGUCAGACGACUUCAAGACUCGAGGCUCCAAAGCAUCUCCCCCCCAUGUCAGUGGGACACACAAA